GUUUAAUCUUGAGAAGGUUUAGGGGUUACAUAAAACCUCUCUACAGACACUUGAAUAAUUAACACAAGGAAAAAGGGAGUAAAAACUUAGUCACUUUUACCAAUUUUCUAACAAUUAAAGUUACUAACGGAUGGAAUUGGCUGCUCCCCAGAGAAUGUGUUCCCAGGCUCUGGAAAUGUUCAGAAAGAGGCUAGAUGACUUCUAUGUCAGGGGCGCUGUAGAAGGGAUUCUUACACGGGGGAAAGAUUAGAAUGAAUGACUUUCAAAGUUCUGUGAAACAGGAUUCUAUGAUCUUUGGAGCAGCUUUGAGGUGGAUCCGUGUUUGGGAAAGUGUCAGAGCACUCUAAUUUCCCGUCCCAUCCUGUCAGUUGGAAUGUAGAAAAGUAGACGUGAAACUUCUGCAUAAACAAAACGAAGGCACAAAGGAUAAGAAGGGAAAUAGCGUUUGGCCCCACUCCUGGUACUUUCCCUCCAGUCUAGAAGCAGAGGCCCAGGUGUGUGUCUGAACAAGAGGUCCCAGCAGUAGAUUUUCUGUGACCAGAAGAGGGCACCAAAUCCACGCCAUUGUCUGCUCCCUUAGACUUUAAACUUGGCCAAAUUCCAGGUAAGUUUUCCCAGCCGGCUCAGCCCGCUCCUCAUCCUGUCCUAGGACAUAAAAGUCAAGAAUUUCCCAUCUUUGCUUCCUCUCCGCAGGGGAAGGUUGGUAAAGUUCUUCACUGGAAGGCGAAAGUCACCUCCCUCUCCUCACGCCCACCUCCUUUAUCUAACCAGCAAACCUCCGUUUUCUAGCAAGAAAAAGGCAGCAAAGAGACGGAGGGAAUUGGGGAGAAAAACACGGUGCACGUGGAAGCAAGAGACCCGCGCUCGUUGCAGCGUGAUCUCGACAAGUUGCCUCAGUUGCCUCAUUUGUAAAAAAGGUCUGACAGCCUGUGGUUAUGUUAGAGAAAGAAAAAGCAUUCUUCCCAGAAGAGGAAUUCCCCAGUCAUCAGACAGCCCGAGGACCAAAGAUGGAUCAGCGCUUCCUUCCCUCCCUCCCCCGCCAGCUCUGCCCUUUCCCUCCCAUCCCUGCCUCCGCCAGCUCAGGGAUGAGGAAAUAAAUGCCAGCACCGCGGAUCUCGGGUCAGGCCGCACUGGGCACGAACGGCGGAAGUCACCGGGUUUAAAAGAAAGGCCGAGUUUCUUUCUCCUAGAAUAGGAACCUUCCCUCACAGACCGGUGGGUGACCAGUGAUGCUUCAACCUCUCGGAGCCUCAUUGGCUGAGGCCCAUGCGGGAGACAAACUCGGAAUCAGACAAAUGUUCCGUUAAGUCAGAAACGCCUCCUUUCUCCGCUUCUGGUCCCCAGCUCGGCCCCUUUCUCCGGCUCCUUAAAAAGGGCCCAGGAGCAAUAACUGCCCGAGAGGGACAGCGGGGAAGCCUGAAGCCAACAUCUGGGGAGUCGGGUUCCAGGAGCCCUGGGUCUGCCUCCCUUUCUGCCCCCUCCCUGUGCGACUAGCGGAUCGGCUCCUCUCCUAGGUGUUCUCACCUGUCAGGAGCGCCUUUUGAUACAUCGUAAUUAUGCUGCGGUUACAGUCCUGUGUGUAUAUGCUAAUAUAUGGCGAUUAUA
ensembl:lncRNA